AAUGAUUUAUAAACCGUUUUUCUUCGCAUUCUUUUUUACCUUCCCCUGACUGGGAGGCGUUUCGUCGUGUGAUACAGAAUGCGAAGACGAACCACAGAGCCUCCUGAAAACAGGGGGCUUUUUUUAU
rfam:Chania multitudinisentens RB-25, complete genome.